GAUCCUGGCUCAGAUUGAACGCUGGCGGAAUGCUUUACACAUGCAAGUCGAACGGCAGCACGGGAGCUUGCUCCUGGUGGCGAGUGGCGAACGGGUGAGUAAUACAUCGGAACGUACCCUGAAGUGGGGGAUAACGUAGCGAAAGUUACGCUAAUACCGCAUAUUCUGUGAGCAGGAAAGAGGGGGAUCGCAAGACCUCUUGCUUUAGGAGCGGCCGAUGUCGGAUUAGCUAGUUGGUGAGGUAAAGGCUCACCAAGGCGACGAUCCGUAGCGGGUCUGAGAGGAUGAUCCGCCACACUGGGACUGAGACACGGCCCAGACUCCUACGGGAGGCAGCAGUGGGGAAUUUUGGACAAUGGGCGCAAGCCUGAUCCAGCCAUGCCGCGUGAGUGAAGAAGGCCUUCGGGUUGUAAAGCUCUUUCGGUGGGGAAGAAAUUGCUUCGGUUAAUACCUGGAGUAGAUGACGGUACCCGCAUAAGAAGCACCGGCUAACUACGUG
rnacentral:rRNA from 1 species